rnacentral:rRNA from 1 species
UACGAAGGGGGCUAGCGUUGUUCGGAAUUACUGGGCGUAAAGGGCUCGUAGGCGGCCAACUAAGUCAGACGUGAAAUCCCUCGGCUUAACCGGGGAACUGCGUCUGAUACUGGAUGGCUUGAGUUUGGGAGAGGGAUGCAGAAUUCCAGGUGUAGCGGUGAAAUGCGUAGAUAUCUGGAGGAAUACCGGUGGCGAAGGCGGCAUCCUGGACCGGCAUUGACGCUGAGGAGCGAAAGCCAGGGGAGCAAACGGG